AGUGAACGCUGGCGGUAGGCCUAACACAUGCAAGUCGAACGGCAGCACAGUAAGAGCUUGCUCUUACGGGUGGCGAGUGGCGGACGGGUGAGGAAUACAUCGGAAUCUACUUUUUCGUGGGGGAUAACGUAGGGAAACUUACGCUAAUACCGCAUACGACCUACGGGUGAAAGCAGGGGAACUUCGGACCUUGCGCGAUUGAAUGAGCCGAUGUCGGAUUAGCUAGUUGGCGGGGUAAAGGCCCACCAAGGCGACGAUCCGUAGCUGGUCUGAGAGGAUGAUCAGCCACACUGGAACUGAGACACGGUCCAGACUCCUACGGGAGGCAGCAGUGGGGAAUAUUGGACAAUGGGCGCAAGCCUGAUCCAGCCAUACCGCGUGGGUGAAGAAGGCCUUCGGGUUUUAAAGCCCUUUUGUUGGGAAAGAAAAGCAGCAGGUUAAUACCCCGCUGUUCUGACGGUACCCAAAGAAUAAGCACCGGCUAACUUCGUG
rnacentral:rRNA from 1 species